CUAUGAGCCAAAAAUUCUCUAAAGGCACUUGAUCCUAUCUGAUCUUGGAAACUUAGCAGGGUCAGUUCUGGUUAGUACUUGGAUGAGAGAUCACCAAGAGAUAAUACAUACUGUAGGCUAUGGU
rnacentral:rRNA from 11 species